CCAUGGUGGCAGGCUAACCGGCAGGAGGGGAGCAAUGUGCUGUGCUGCUCCCGUUCUGCCGCUGUGUGUAGCGCUGCCAAGCAGUCUGACAGGAAGUGCUCACUGAGAAAGUACUUCCUGUCAGAUUCAGACGGGUACCGUGAUCACGGCAAACAGGUAAGGGGGGAAUGGAGAAAUAGAGGGUCUGCAGGGGAAGACAGGGGUUGAAAUGGAGGGUCUGCAGGGGAAAGCGUGAGUGAAUUUGAGGUUCUGCAGGGCAAGGGCAGGAGAAAUAGAGGGUCUGCAGGGGAAGAGGGAGAGAAAUGGAGGGUCUGCAGGGGUAGGGGAGAGAAAUGGAG